rnacentral:pre_miRNA from 14 species
UUGUUUCUUAGAGUUCCUUUGAACGCUUCAUGCAUGAGAAUAUGUAUUUGGUCUAAUAUCCAUUAGAAAAGAUAGUUCUUCAUCAAUGAAGUGUUUGGGGGAACUCUUGGGUUCAA